rnacentral:lncRNA from 1 species
AAUACUUUUAUCAAUUGAUUGUUUUGCAUAUUUAAAAUAAUUAAUUAAUAAAAUUAUAAAUUUAUGCCUUGUGAAAUUUCUAAAAUACUUAAUAUAAUGAAAUUCUUAAAAUUACCCUAUGACAUUAGCAAUUUAUUAAUGAAAUUAAUGAUUUAAUGGUAUAAUAAUGAAAACCGAAACAUUAAGUGGAAGAAAACAAUUAUCAGAAAGUUUUGGUGGUAAAAUAAUACGUUCGAAAACAUUUGAUGGUAAAAUGAUAAUACCCCUUUUAUCUAAAUUCAUAUUUAAUGCUGAAGCACUACAAGAUGUACAAUAAUCUAUUGGAAAAGUUGAUGUUAAUAUUGAUUAUUAUGGACAUGCAUAUGCCAUUAUAAUGUGAUCAAAGAUAAUGAUCCCUGGAGCACUUGGAAGACUUAUUUAUCAAUCUUAACGUUUCGUCACUCUGCCGCAAAGAACAUUGACUACGAGAAUAUGCAAAGAAGAUUAUGUAAUGCGGAAUCGGAAACGGGGCCGGAGGUUGUAAAGCAUAAGGUUUAUUAUAAUAUCUAUAUUGUGCAUUUGGCAGCUUCCAUUACAAUGUAUUGCAUUGUAUUAAAAUACUGUUUUUAUGCUAUUCUAUAGUCAGUGGCGAAUUUAGAAAAAUAAUUUAUCGGGUGUUAGAUUACAUAAUAGUAAAAUUUUAAAACUAAAACUUUGAAUGUAUAAAAUAUUUGUUAAUACAUUUAGAAUUAUUUUUAACGUAUUUUCAAGAAUAAAAAAAUGUUUGUGGUGAUGACUUAUCAUUAUUUUUAAUUAUAGUGUAGGCUUUUAUAAUUCUAAAAGUUAAAGUUUAAAUUUUGUGAGUUUAUAAAUUUAUAGGAUCAAUUUUAAUAGAUUUAAUGAAGGUUAAUUAGAAAUCUUAAAUAUUUUUCUUUUAUUCUUAUAGUUUUUUUUUAGCUAGUGGGGGCUAUAGUCCCCACUGGUCACAUACUGCAUGUGCCCCUGCCUAUAUUUAGUUACAAUUUUGGAGAUACAUUGCACUAAAUUAAAAAGGUGAUUAAUAUCAUGAAAGAUGUAUAAAAUAAACCCAUAAGGACAUAAUUUAGGCUAUAUUACAUUAGAAUACUGAUCAUAUUUUAACUAUAAUCAUUUGGACUUUAUUUAUUUAUUAAACUAUAA